GACGUAGGGCGCGAGCGUUGUCCGGAUUUAUUGGGCGUAAAGCGCUCGUAGGCGGCUUGUUGCGUCGUUCGUGAAAUCCCGUGGCUCAACUGCGGGCUUGCGGACGAUACGGGCAGGCUAGAAUUCGGUAGGGGAGACUGGAAUUCCUGGUGUAGCGGUGAAAUGCGCAGAUAUCAGGAGGAACACCGAUGGCGAAGGCAGGUCUCUGGGCAUUAACUGACGCUGAGGAGCGAAAGCAUGGGGAGCAAACGGG
rnacentral:rRNA from 1 species